CCCAAGAUCGGCCGCCGCCUCCCUGCUUUCUGUUGCCGCGCGACACCACAGCCCUGGCCUUCCCCGAUGUCCGCAUAUGGCCGGGUUGGAUGCGGUGCUCCGCGCUGAGGCCGCCGGUGCCAGAGCCUCUGCCGGAGAUGGUCGGAGUCGCCCGGGCCGUCACCGGAGCGCCCUACCUCACCUCUACCUCUGUUCACCGAUGUGAGGAAGAAGAAGGAAAGAGGAGGAGAGAGACAAAAGGCACGGGCCCCACCAGUCAGUGUCCCAGAAGCCCGGCCCGGCCACUGCCUAGCUGGAUAAGUGGAAGCACAUUCGCGCGGGUGUGUUUUCCCAUUCGGAAGACGGAUAUUGGUGCGGCUUAGGCCAGGAAAGCGUAUUCUGCCAAAUGCUUUUUCUGUUUUUCACUCAAGGGACUGUUUGUGGAUAUAUUUUUACAAAUAGGUCCCUGGCAGUCAAACCUUUAUAACUUUUUGUUCACAACUCCAAAUGAGGUGAUUCCAAAGCCCACUUCUUAAUAUUGUCGAGCCCGUUCUGCUGGUACCAUUUUCACCAUGUGUUAACAUACUGAAAAUGACCAUUUUGCCCUUGAACUAAAUCAUCCCCCUUCGAGAGAGAAUGUUUUUCGGCGAUUCUUUCCGCGAGCUUCUCGCACUUCUUCCCGAUGAAUCCCAUCACCCCAGGCAAGCGACACCCUCCAUUUGCAUGAUUGCAAUGCAGUGACAUGGUUUAACUUAUUUGACUUUAUUUAAAAUAUUGUUUUAGCUACUUGUGACUUGUUCAUGAUAUUGCUUGGAGUUCUAGGACUAAUAUUUUGCAUCUUAUGUGGAUGACAUGUUGCCUUUGGAUUCUUAGUGGCUAUUAUGAUUAUUUUCAUGAUGGUAUUAUACUUUGGAGUAUUACUUUGGAUGUCAUGUUGCCUUUGGAUUAUUAGUGGCUAGCACUAUUUUCAUCAUGAUGAUAGUUGAUAUUAAGUUUUGGAGUAUGGUUUCGGAGAUAAUGCUUGCAUGUGGAUCUUAGCCGGAUAGUUUACUCUUGCUAUAUUUUUAGUAGGUUCUUGGUACUUGGAUUCAUCAUGAUCUUAGUUGAUAUGCUACCCUUAGAGUUUUAGCUUAUGAUGAUAGUAUGCUCUGGAUUAUUUGUUGGAUAUUGCUAUGACUCUGAUUACAGGUUGAUACCAUAUCGGAGUAUAAGUUCUCGUAAGAUAUAUUUUUGGGGAUAAAUUCCGUAAUUAAGUUGGCCAGGUGCCACCGAACCGGGCUUUUCCAGUGCAACCACAUUUGCCUUUUAUGGGAAGUCCCUAAUGCGGUCUAUUGUCAUGUCUCUCGCCGGUGCCUCCAACGAGGGAAGGUUAUGGGUGUGCCCGUAGUUGUUGCUAGGCGCCUUUUUGUCCCUGUUUGGGACCGUUUUUGUUUUGCCAUGACGGUGGCCAUUGAUGCCUUUGGUAGGCAUGGGGCCACCCAUGACUUACCCCAGAAGGGAGUUGGUCAGAGUGUCCGGGAGUGUGUCAUGGCGAUAGUCGGAACAUCGUUGGUCCACAUGUAUGGGAGUGUGAGGCCAUGGGUUCCGUGGUGUGGGUAAAGUGCGCUACCUCUACAGAGUGUGUGUGUGUGUGUGUGUGUGUUUAAUCUAUCAAUAGCCGCGUCCUCGGCCAUGGGCAUAAGUUCGUACUAGGUCACACCGUUCGAUCAACAGUCACAUGACGGAAUGACUUAUAGGUGGUUUAUAUGUUGGUAUUGUGAGCAGUAACAGUUUGGCAUGAUGUUGAUGAUGAUGUUGGGAUGAUCUUGAGGAUGAUCAUUUAGUUUGUGAUGUGGUCACGAGGUGAUCAUGUGGAUGUUGAUCACGAGUUGAUCAGGUGGAUCACGAGGUGAUCGAGAUGGUAUAUUGCUUGGCCGGUUAGCCAAGAGUGAGAUGGUUCAUUGAGAUUAAGAUGUUGGUUUAUCAGUAUUGUAGUAGUUUCAUAUCAUGCUUAGUAGCUGCUUUCAUAUCAUAGUAGUUGUUAAUUAAAUUUUUUAAUGAUGUGUUGUUGUUUUGCCUUGAUGCUUUUGGUUAUUGUGAGCUUGUAAGUACAUUCAAUGUACUGACCUGGCUUGUCAUGCCAGAUUGCAGGUGAUGCCGUGAUUGAUUGUUUGUCGUGGUUUCCGUUCUUGCGAGCUAGAUCGUGUCCCAGCCAGAGUCCCCGCGGAGUGGAGUUCACCACCUUCGUCGUUGUUCCGGUGCUAGAAGUAUUCCGCUGCUAGCAUAGAGCAAGUGUAGUAUCGCAGGCGUAGUGUCGCCAUGCUGAUGUGACCUUUUGUAACAUCAGACCCUUGUAUUAUUAUCCUUUGUAAUAAGAUCUGAUUUGUUCUAUGUCAAGAAGUGAUGUAUUCCAGAAGACUUCAUCUCGAUCUCCAGGCUGGAAUACGGGGCGUUCUCGUUUCUCUGAGCUGGGGUGCCACAAACAUUGGAGGAAGAUCAAGCAUGGAGAUGAUGGCAUGCACAUGGGGAACAAGAACAGAGUUACAAAUGAUGAUUUCAGGACUUUGAAGCCACCAUAAUGAGUGCAUGAAGCCUUGGACGAAAUAUACAAGAUGCCACUUCAUAAAUUUCGUCUAGAGGCAAUUAUAGGUGUUGUGUCACCUUAUUAUUGGGCCAGGCCCAUGUAAUUUCGAAAUACUGAAGUAUAGGUGUG
rnacentral:lncRNA from 1 species